GGACGCGAUCAUACCAGCACUAAAGCACCGAAUCCCAUAGUUAAGCGUGCUUGGGCAAGAGUAGUACUAGGAUGGGUGACCUCCUGGGAAGUCUUCGUGUUGCAUUCC
rnacentral:rRNA from 2 species